rnacentral:rRNA from 1 species
GACGAACGCUGGCGGCGUGCUUAACACAUGCGAGUCGAACGGAAAGGCCCUGCUUUUGUGGGGUGCUCGAGUGGCGAACGUGUGAGUAACACGUGAGUAACCUGCCCUUGACUUUGGGAUAACUUCAGGAAACUGGGGCUAAUACCGGAUAGGAGCUCCUGCUGCAUGGUGGGGGUUGGAAAGUUUCGGCGGUUGGGGAUGGACUCGCGGCUUAUCAGCUUGUUGGUGUGGUAGUUGCUUACCAAGGCUUUGACGGGUAGCCGGCCUGAGAGGGUGACCGGACACAUUGGGACUGAGAUACGGCGCAGACUCCUACGGGAGGCAGCAGUGGGGAAUAUUGCACAAUGGGCGGAAGCCUGAUGCAGCAACGCCGCGUGCGGGAUGACGGCCUUCGGGUUGUAAACCGAUUUCGCCUGUGACGAAGCGUGAGUGACGGUAAUGGGUAAAGAAGCACCGGCUAACUACGUG